GGGGAAGUGCAGCUCCCAGAUCCUGGGUGUAUUUACAGAACCACAGCAGCAAAGCCACUGCCUUCCCCGUUGCUACACAGGAGAAUUUGUGCAGACUCGGGGGUCCCUGGGAAGAUGUCACACUAAGGACACAGCUCUGGGCUGGCACUGAGGUUCUGUCUACAGUUAAGUAUCCUCUGGAUGGAUUAUGUGAACAUCCAGGCUUUACUUUGCUCGUGAGUCCAUUUGGGAAAGGUAAAAUCAGGAACAGUAACUUUGGGACAGCCUGUGUUGGUGAUGGUUUCAGCUUUGACCAAAAGCUACCUGGACUCUAAUCAGCUGCAAAGUGAGAGAGCUGCAGCCAUGUAGAUCCUGCCAGAGCCCUGUGCACUUCAGCCACUUUAUGGCAAUUGGGUUACUGGAAAGUCAAUUUUUUUGCAGUGAGUAAAUUCAUCUCAUCGUGCAGAGGAAACUCAGGGGAGGUCUUUUGUCACAUGGUUAUCCUCUGAUUUAUCAUCCAGGGGUGAUGCUGUCCUAUGCUGGGUUUGUGUACCUUGCUCGAGGUCAAAGCUGUGGCACUGUAGACCUGGGUUCAUUCCUGAAGCAAUCAAAUUCUUGCUUUCACCCCAGAAGACAUGGUCACCACUGGAUUCUGAGUUGAUGCAAGGCCAUACAAACCCUUGGGACCAGAGGGGCUGCCUCUGAGUGACAUCUGGAAUCGCUGUC
rnacentral:lncRNA from 1 species